UACGUAGGGUGCGAGCGUUGUCCGGAAUUAUUGGGCGUAAAGAGCUCGUAGGCGGUCUGUCGCGUCGGUCGUGAAAACUUGGGGCUUAACCCUGAGCUUGCGGUCGAUACGGGCAUGACUGGAGUUCGGCAGGGGAGACUGGAAUUCCUGGUGUAGCGGUGAAAUGCGCAGAUAUCAGGAGGAACACCUGCGGCGAAGGCGGGUUGCUGGGCUGACACUGACGCUGACAGCGCGAAAGCUAGGGGAGCGAACGGG
rnacentral:rRNA from 1 species